GCUGCAUCUUUGCUGUCAAGCAGAGAUGGGGAAAGGAGUAUGUAUGUACUCCGUGUUUCUGUGUUGGACACGGGGAGAAAGGAGAUGUCUGAGGGCCAGUGCAAGCAAAGGGGAGAGCAAGGGGUGUUCCUCAGCCAGCUCCCCACUCUCACAAGCACUGCUCAUGUUGUGGCUGUUCUCAGGGAGAGCCAAGAGUAAAGCCGCUGGGCAGACUCCCUGCCACACAUUCACCAGAGGCCCAGACUUUGGUCAUGGUAGGACAACCUGCUGUGUAGCCAGACGCAGGGGUGCGGAGCCGGAAGUCUUGAUUUGCUCAACCUCUUUACUUUCGGGGAGUAGUGAGUCCUGGAGUUCUUCUUUGGGGGAAGAGCUGCUGGCAGUUUUGAAAGGUGUGGACAGAAAGUGUUCCUCCUGGGCUCUUCCCUGGCAGCUGUGUUGUCAGGAGCAGGUUUCCAAAACAGUGGCUUUUGUGCCUGGAAGUGGUAAUCCAGCUGGUUUGCUCGAAACCUGGCUCAUUGACAGACAUAGGACACCCUCCUUUUUCAGGCAAAAGAUGGCCGUGCACAAGAAGAGGUUCUUGAGAUUCAUUGUCUUCUUGCUUCCAGUGGUUCUUGGCAACCAGGAGGAGACCACGGUGCUUCAGGGACCACUAGCAACCCAGGUCAAGUGACUGUCUCUUGGUGAUGUGAAUUGCAGCUGGUGUUUACUGUGGGACCUCACUGCCAGCGUGGACAAUGCAGGCAAAGGCACAGAGAGAGGUUGGUGGACCCUCUGGGACAGGCAGCUCCUGCAAGGGAGCAUUGCUGACAGUGGCUGGCUAAAUCGUGGGCUUUUCUGUGUCCACACAGAGUGAGCCAAAGAAGCAGUGGCUUUUGCCGGGGCUUCCUAGGGAAGCCUCUCCUGGGAAGCCCCAGCAGCUCUGGUGGUGGAUACUCUAACAGAGAGUUUUUCCCUUUCAGGCUCUGACAGGGGCAGCCGCAGCAGAAACAAAGAUGCUGAGGAAUUUGCACGCCUUGUUGACAGAGCAAACCCAAAAGUUGCAGCUUCUGCUGGAGGAGGUGGCUCAGCUGGAGGUGGAGAUAAGCCGUUUGAAGAAGGUAACCCUGCAUUUUGGAGAAGAAGGCUUGGCUGGGCAGAAGCCCUGAGGAAGCACUACCUGGGAUUAGUAGUGGGUUCAGCCUGCUGAGCGCAGCAAGCCAGCUUGUGCCAGGGGAUUGCUGGGUGAGCUUUGGCACUGCCCAGGCCCUUCUCUGGGCCCAGGUUAACUGGUGCUUCAGGCAGUAGGAAUCUCCCAGCAUUCUUCCCUUGGCACGGGCACCUUUGGCUGCUCUGGCUGGGCCCUGAGCAGCAGGGAGACCCAGGCCCACUCCCAUGGCCAGCCUUUGUGGACAUGGCCUGAGCAUGGAAGGUGGGAACAAGGGAGUGAGGACCCCAUGGUCGUGGCCACAUAUACUGUGCUUGUGGCUCACGUCAGCUGCAGUCUCUCAGCUUACUGGACAAGGCUUGCCUUGUG